rnacentral:rRNA from 1 species
UACGGAGGGGGCUAGCGUUGUUCGGAAUUACUGGGCGUAAAGCGAACGUAGGCGGAUUUUUAAGUUGGAGGUGAAAGCCUGGAGCUCAACUCCAGAAUUGCCUUUAAGACUGCAUAGCUUGAAUCCAGGAGAGGUGAGUGGAAUUCCGAGUGUAGAGGUGAAAUGCGUAGAUAUUCGGAAGAACACCAGUGGCGAAGGCGGCUCACUGGACUGGUAUUGACGCUGAGGUGCGAAAGCGUGGGGAGCAAACAGG